rnacentral:misc_RNA from 1 species
GACAAGGAAUGAUUCUAGGACUUUAGCUGAAGAUUAUGAUGUUAUCCCUUACUUAUGCGACAAGAACAUUGAAACGGAUCAGCCAAAUGAACUAGGAAUGGAGGAAGUAGAGCUGGCAAGAGAAGCUUAUAUUGCAGCAGUUGCUGCUGCUAAAGAAAAUCAAGAUGAAGCAUCUUUCUCCGAAGCUGCCAAAGCAAGAUUAUAUCUGCAGUCACUUGUUCUAAGAACAUAAACAUGGAUUCUAAUAGGGAAAUUGUC